CCUUCGGGCUUAGUGGCGCACGGGUGCGUAACGCUGGGAAUCUGCCCUUGGGUUCGGAAUAACAGUUAGAAAUGACUGCUAAUACCGAAUGAUGUCUUCGGACCAAAGAUUAUCGCCCAAGGAGGGGCCCGCGUUCCGAUUAGGUAGUUGGUGGGGUAAUGGCCUACCAAGCCGACGAUCGGUAGCUGGUCUGAGAGGAUGAUCAGCCACACUGGGACUGAGAUACGGCCCAGACUCCUACGGGAGGCAGCAGUGGGGAAUAUUGGACAAUGGGGGCAACCCUGAUCCAGCAAUGCCGCGUGAGUGAUGAAGGCCUUAGGGUUGUAAAAGCUCUUUUGGCCAGGGAAGAUGAUGACUGUACCUGGAGAAUAAGCCCCGGCUAACUUCGUG
rnacentral:rRNA from 1 species